CAUACCUAUUCGAAGGGAUAGGGUCGGUUUGGCCGGAUUUCACACAGGUGUUGCAUGGCUGUCGUCAGCUCGUGUCGUGAGAUGUUGGGUUAUGUCCCGCAACGAGCGCAACCCUCAUCCUUAGUUACCAUCAGGUUAUGCUGGGGACUUUAAGGAAACUGCCAGUGAUAAACUGGAGGAAGGUGGGGAUGAUGUCAAGUCAUCAUGGCCCUUAUGGAGUGGGCUACACACGUGCUACAAUGGUGAUUACAAUGGGCUGCAAGGUCGCAAGGCUGAGCUAAUCCUAAAAAAUCAUCUCAGUUCGGAUUGUUCUCUGCAACUCGAGAGCAUGAAGUUGGAAUCGCUAGUAAUCGUGGAUCAGCAUGCCACGGUGAAUACGUUCUCGGGUCUUGUACACACUGCCCGUCACGCCAUGGGAAUUGGUUUCACUCGAAGCU
rnacentral:rRNA from 1 species